UUUCUUUCCACUAUUAUUUAAGCUAUGUAAAGUUGCGUUUUCACGAAAAGCAUCCAGUUAGCGUCGCUUCAGCAUCAAUCUCGCGCCCAACACUGGAUUAGUCAUGAAGGAAAUGAAGCACUUCUGACCCGUUGUCUCAGUCACCGUUACAGGCUACAAAGACUCUUCAUGAUAAAUCACAGAGGUGAGGGGAAGAGGUGGUUACAAGAACAACAUCACCAGUAUCUUUCAAAUACAUUAAGAGCUGAAGCUUGUGUCACAUAAUGAGUCAGCAGGGGACCUUCUGCAAUCUCUUUGAGGCCCGGGAA